GAUGAACGCUAGCGGGAGGCUUAACACAUGCAAGUCGUGGGGCAGCACAGGUAGCAAUACUGGGUGGCGACCGGCGCACGGGUGAGUAACGCGUAUGCAACCUGCCCUGUACAGGGGGAUAGCCCGGAGAAAUUCGGAUUAAUACCCCAUAAAGAUAUUGAGAGGCAUCUUUUAAUAUUUAAAGUUUCGGCGGUACGGGAUGGGCAUGCGUGACAUUAGCUAGUUGGUAGGGUAACGGCCUACCAAGGCUGCGAUGGCUAGGGGUCCUUAGAGGGUGAUCCCCCACACUGGUACUGAGACACGGACCAGACUCCUACGGGAGGCAGCAGUGAGGAAUAUUGGUCAAUGGGCGCAAGCCUGAACCAGCCAUCCCGCGUGCAGGAAGAAGGCGCUAUGCGUCGUAAACUGCUUUUUCAGGGGAAGAAAAUCCUGUACGUGUACGGGACUGACGGUACCCUGUGAAUAAGCAUCGGCUAACUCCGUGCCAGCAGCCGCAGUAAAAC
rnacentral:rRNA from 1 species